UGAGAAACUUCAAAGGAGAUCGAUGAUCAAGUAUGACGCCGAUAAAGAAAAAGCAAACAAACCGCUAUUAAUGUUGAUGAACUGCUACGGUUAUUUAGGUCCGGAAACAUAGUAGCACACAUGGUAAAAAACAGCUAGAAGAAAAGGGACGUAACAAAAGUUUGCACUAGGAUAUGAUUCAGGAUGAUUCUGGCAGAACGAGAAUAGAAAGAUCUCCAUCCCGAACAAACAUGGCGGACAUGGCGGGAUGUGAACGAUUCAUAUGCAUAUACGGAUGUGAAAAAUAUAUUCGGGACAAUGAACUUAUGGGAAUGAGAAGAGGAUUGGAUUAAAAAUGGGUUAUAGAAGUUAAUUCGGCCGAUGGAAUCAGAUUCUAUAGAAGGGAGUGUUACAUAGUAGAUAUUUUCAAUUUAAUGAAUUGAAAGCAAUCUGGUGAUAUACGAUUUUUAAGCAAUUUUCACAUAAUCAUCAAAUCAUCUUGCCAUGACAAUUCUUUUGGUCAUUUCUUGUUUUU
rnacentral:lncRNA from 1 species